rnacentral:rRNA from 1 species
UACGAAGGGGGCUAGCGUUGCUCGGAAUUACUGGGCGUAAAGGGCGCGUAGGCGGAUGUCUAAGUUGGGGGGUGAAAUCCCGGGGCUCAACCUCGGAACAGCCUUCAAUACUGGAUAUCUUGAGUUCGGGAGAGGUGAGUGGAAUGCCGAGUGUAGAGGUGAAAAUUCGUAGAUAUUCGGCGGAACACCAGUGGCGAAGGCGACUCACUGGCCCGAUACUGACGCUGAGGCGGCGAAA